GGGGUGAGGGAGGGGGCUAAGGGGGAAGCUCAGUGAGUGAGAGGGAGGGAGGGAUGAGACAGGGGCAUAUCUUUGUUGGUGGUAUGGGCACAAACCUAGAUUUUGAGAAGAUAGAAACAAAUU